rnacentral:tRNA from 1 species
AGCCCAAUAGCUCAUUCUAUAGAGCAUCAGACUUUUAAUCUGAGGGUCCAGGGUUCAAGUCCCUGUUUUGUGA